rnacentral:lncRNA from 1 species
CGCGAGCGGUGGCCGCGCUUGGACAGAGCGCCGAGGAGCAUAUCGGUUACUGUAGACGUCCAUAUCCUCCCCAUUCUGUCCUUUAGCAAAAACAGCCAAAGUUUGAACUAAAGCCAAAAUUUCACCAAAAUAAAAGUUGUACAAAAUUUUGUGAACUACAAAACAUCUUUUGGUGGCCAGAGCCAAUUCUGCGUGGAAAUUAGCUAAAUUGGCCAAACCGUUUUGAAAUUCAAACUCAA